rnacentral:rRNA from 1 species
UACAGAGGUCCCAAGCGUUGUUCGGAUUCAUUGGGCGUAAAGGGUGCGUAGGCGGCGCGGUAAGUCGGGUGUGAAAUUUCGGAGCUUAACUCCGAAACUGCAUUCGAUACUGCGGUGCUUGAGGACUGGAGAGGAGACUGGAAUUUACGGUGUAGCGGUGAAAUGCGUAGAUAUCGUAAGGAAGACCAGUGGCGAAGGCGGGUCUCUGGACAGUUCCUGACGCUGAGGCACGAAGGCCAGGGGAGCAAACGGG